AGGGUGCUAGCUCAAUGGAAGAGCACCUACUUUACAAGUAGGAGAAUGGUGGUUCAAUUCCAUCUUGCCCUA
rnacentral:tRNA from 1 species